ensembl:lncRNA
CUCAUUUUCCCCCAAGUACCUUAAGACUUCUGUACCUAUUAGGAGGUAGCCUUCCUUACUUGGGCUUCCCUCAUAGCUCAGUUGGUAAAGAAUCUGCCUGCAAUGUAGAAGACCCCGGAUCAACUCCUGGGUCGGGAAGAUCUGCUGGAGAAGGGAUAGUCUACCCACUCCAGUAUUCUUGGACUUCCGUUGUGGCUCAGCUGGUAAAGAAUCCAGCCAUGAUGCGGGAUACCUGGGUUCGAUCCCUGGGUUGGGAAGAUCCCCUGGAGAAGGGAAAGGCUACCCACUCCAGUAUUCUGGCCUGGAGAAGUCCAUGGACUGUAUAGUCCAUGAGGUCUCACACAACUGAGCCACUUUCACUUUCUUUAUUUGCCUGAUAAAGUUACUGGCAAACUAAGAAAUUACAGUUUCUGGAGGGAUCAGGUAGAGAGAACAGAUAGAUGUUUCAUUUCCAUUUAUAAAGGUAUAAUUUACCAAAUUGCCGUAAGUCAUAAUUAACUGGAGGGGAAAACCAAAAAGUGAUGGCCUAGAUUCUGAAGGCUUUGCAGUCCCUGGUUCUGGCCCUUCCAGUUGUCUGCUGGCACCCCUGUUACUUCCAACCAAAAGCCUUCCAGUGUGCAGUCCCAGCACUAUUCCUUGGCUCUAGCUGAUAUCCCUUUGCCUGAAAUUCCUCCUGUCCUGCACUGCCUCCAACUUGUCUACGUUCUCUCAGUCUUUCAAGCCUCUGUUCUUAUCCUGACAUAUUGGUGACAUUUUUCUCUACCAAUCUAGCUGCUGGAACUCUCCAAACUGUAGCAAGUUUUCUGCCUGCAGCUUCCUUGGUUGGGAGCAGAAACUGUCUGAUCUGCCCCUCUAUCUUCCUGUCUGUGCCCUUCCUCCCUGCCAUCUGGCAUCUGUCUUCUUACAGUUCACUCUCAGUAACUGGGUUAUCCGCCAGGGUACGGCAGGCUGAGCCCAAAACCCCGGGGCUUUUCUGAAAUGAACGUUUUGUCCAUCCAGUCUGCAG